GCUUGAAGAAGUCUAAGAACUUUUAUUUAUUCGUGAGUUUCCUGGGUCAGAACUUCCCUUGAAGUUUCAUUAGCACUAUAAUGAUCACUUCUUUAUUGUCCCAUAUUCUUUUACUUUUCUUUCUAUAAUUGAAGAUUGGGGCAUAGCACUUCUAGAAUUGGUCAUAAUAAUAAUAAUAUUGUAUUAUAAUUGCUAUUUUCAUGGCAAAGGAAAGCUAAGUUGACUUGACACCGAUGAUACGAUUGACUUGCCAAGAGUUUGAACGCGUGACCUUAAGGUCACACAGACAACUCAAAUGUCAAAUAUAUAUUUGAUAAUUCUAAUCAUCCAUCACCAUUUUGUUCCAAACAAACUAUUCUUUGAGACUCUGACUCCAUAUGAAGUUAUAACUCAACAUGCCACAAAUUGCUAUCUCACAAGUCACAACAAUAAGAACUGUUCUAAAAUUGGAACAAAGUUUUGAAGGUAAUGGUUGUAAUGAAAAUAGAAAAGGUAGUAGAAGCUACAGAAGCAGAUGAGCCACUUGGAGGAAGAGAAGGAGGAGUAGAACUAGAAGGAGCUUUUCUUGGUGCAGAAGAAAAAUUACCAGUGACUACUUCAACACUUAGCUUUUGGCCACUGCUGCAAUGUCCUGAGAAUGUGCAUGAAAAAUAGAACCUUCCAGCACGGUUAAGGGUCACUCUGGCUGGUCCUAUCACAUAGAAUUCUAUCUUGUCAUUUUCGUCGCAUUUUUCGUAGUUAUUCUUUGUAAGUUCUGCCACUGAAUGGCUCCCAGAUUCAAAUUUAAACACUGCAAAAUCAAGUUACCUCAAGAAUAAAUGUUCUGAAUGUAUCAAAAAUGUAAAACUAGAUAUGAAUGUUUUUUCCUUUUCUUUUACCUAGGGUGUCAUUCACUAUGAAAGUAUGGUUUGAAGCCCAAUUUGAAUAGAAAGAAGCACCACCAGGUGGAUAACUAGUCCACCCUAUGCUUUCUCCUCCAACUAUGUGUUCUUCAGCUUCUGUCACAACAAUCAUGAUCAUUGCAACAAUAAUUGCAACAUUCUUCCUCAAUUGAUCCAUCCUCUGAAGAGAAAAGGGCUGGAAUUGUAUUCUCUAAGUGUUUUAUUGAAUAUAUAAAGAAGAGAUAUAGAAUUGAAGCAACCAACCAUUGCCAGUUGCCUAA